UACGUAGGGCGCAAGCGUUGUCCGGAAUUAUUGGGCGUAAAGAGCUCGUAGGCGGUUUGUCGCGUCUUCCGUGAAAACCAUGGGCUUAACCUGUGGCUUGCGGUGGAUACGGGCUGACUGGAGUGCGGCAGGGGAGACUGGAAUUCCUGGUGUAGCGGUGAAAUGCGCAGAUAUCAGGAGGAACACCGGUGGCGAAGGCGGGUCUCUGGGCCGAUACUGACGCCGAGGAGCGAAAGCGUGGGGAGCGAACAGG
rnacentral:rRNA from 1 species